rnacentral:rRNA from 1 species
UACGUAGGGUGCGAGCGUUAAUCGGAAUUACUGGGCGUAAAGCGUGCGUAGGCGGUUCGCUGUGUCCGAUGUGAAAGCCCCGGGCUUAACCUGGGAAUGGCAUUGGAAACUGGCGGGCUUGAGUGCGGCAGAGGGGGGUGGAAUUCCGCGUGUAGCAGUGAAAUGCGUAGAGAUGCGGAGGAACACCGAUGGCGAAGGCAGCCCCCUGGGUCGACACUGACGCUCAGGCACGAAAGCGUGGGGAGCAAGCAGG